rnacentral:rRNA from 1 species
AUUGAACGCUGGCGGCAUGCCUUACACAUGCAAGUCGAACGGACGAUUCGGGCUUGCUCGAAUCGUUAGUGGCGGACGGCUGAGUAACGCGUGGGUGACCUGCCCCGAAGUGGGGAAUAACUGCCCGAAAGGGUGGCUAAUACCGCAUGUGGUGGUGCGUUCAUUCGUACCAGUAAAGCCGCAAGGCGCUUCGGGAGGGGCCUGCGUCCGAUUAGCUCGUUGGUGGGGUAACGGCUCACCAAGGCGACGAUCGGUAGGUGGUCUGAGAGGACGAUCACCCAGACUGGGACUGAGACACGGCCCAGACUCCUACGGGUGGCUG